GCCCCACUAGUCUGGGAGUACCACUUGGUAAACAAGGUGCUAAUACCGGAUAAGAAAGACGGAUCGCAUGANCAGCUUUUAAAAGGCGGCGUAAGCUGUCGCUAUGGGAUGGCCCCGCGGUGCAUUAGCUAGUUGGUAAGGUAAAGGCUUACCAAGGCGAUGAUGCAUAGCCGAGUUGAGAGACUGAUCGGCCACAUUGGGACUGAGACACGGCCCAAACUCCUACGGGAGGCAGCAGC
rnacentral:rRNA from 1 species